rnacentral:pre_miRNA from 1 species
UAGUUACUCCCUCCGUCCCAAAAUUCUUGUCUUAGAUUUGUCUAGAUACGGAUGUAUCUAACACUAAAAUGUAACUAGAUACAUCCGUAUUUAGACAAAUUUAAGACAAGAAUUUUGGGACGGAGGGAGUACAAA